CUGAGUUUACAACUCCCAAACCCACUGAGUAUUAUACCUAUGUUGCUUCGGCGGGAUCGCCCCGGUGCUGAGAUGCCCGGAUCCAGGCGCCCGCCGGAGACUUUAAAAUCUUGGAAUUAAGGGAUAUCUGAAUGGUAUUUUAAAAUAAAUAA
rnacentral:misc_RNA from 1 species